rnacentral:rRNA from 1 species
UACGAAGGGGACUAGCGUUGUUCGGAUUUACUGGGCGUAAAGCGCGCGUAGGCGGAUCGCUAAGUCAGGGGUGAAAUCCCAAGGCUCAACCUUGGAACUGCCUUUGAUACUGACGAUCUGGAGAUCGGGAGAGGUCGGUGGAAUUCCGAGUGUAGAGGUGAAAUUCGUAGAUAUUCGGAGGAACACCAGAAGCGAAGGCGGCCAACUGGCCCGAUACUGACGCUGAGGCGCGAAAGCGUGGGGAGCAAACAGG